rnacentral:rRNA from 1 species
ACGGGAGGCAGCAGUGGGGAAUAUUGCGCAAUGGAGGCAACUCUGACGCAGCAACGCCGCGUGCAGGAUGAAGGUUUUCGAAUCGUAAACUGCUUUCAGUAGGGAAGAAGUAAUUGACGGUACCUACACAAGAAGCUCCGGCUAACUACGUGCCAGCAGCCGCGGUAACACGUAGGGAGCAAGCGUUAUCCGGAUUCAUUGGGCGUAAAGCGCGCGCAGGCGGGUGAUUAAGCGGGACUUUUAACCCGAGGGCUCAACCCCCGGUCGGGUUCCGAACUGGUCAUCUUGAGUGCGGUAGGGGCAGGUGGAAUUCCAUGUGUAGCGGUGAAAUGCGCAGAUAUAUGGAAGAACACCGAUGGCGAAGGCAGCCUGCUGGGCCGCCACUGACGCUCAGGCGCGAAAGCUAGGGGAGCAAACAGGAUUAGAUACCCUGGUA